rnacentral:rRNA from 1 species
CAUUACCGAGUGAGCGCCUCCGGGCGCGACCUCCCACCCUUUGUGAUUAAACCCUCUGUUGCCUCGGGGUGACCCGGCCUCGCCCGGCCCCCGACGGACCGUUUCAAAACUCUGCAUCUUUGCGUCGGAUAUGAAAAAGUUAAAUUGAUUUAAAACUUUCAACAACGGAUCUCUUGGUUCUGGCAUCGAUGAAGAACGCAGCGAAAUGCGAUAAGUAAUGUGAAUUGCAGAAUUCAGUGAAUCAUCGAGUUUUUGAACGCACACUGCGCCCCUUGGUAUUCCGGGGGGCAUGCCCGUUCGAGCGUCAUUUCACCAAUCAAGCCUGGCUUGGUAUUGGGCCACGGGGGCGACCCGGACCCCAAAGUCGUCGGCUGGAAAGCUCUGAUCUCAGCGUCGUGGAAUCCAUUCGCCGACGAGAGGAGCGAUUCCAACGCCGGAAACAUUCAUUCACAAGGUUGACCUCGGAUCGGGUAGGAAUACCC